rnacentral:lncRNA from 1 species
UGAGCAACACUCACCUGGUCAGUGAAGCUGAGCAAAACUGCCCUGCUCAGACCUGAACUGGCCUGAGACAGAGACAGAAAGGGGCAGGCAGGGCAGUCUCAGACUCCCAGAGAGGAGAACAGCAAGUUUCUGUUCCGCUGGUGUUUAAUCUGCACAGGCUGCAUGAAGUUUUGCAUCCUCUUUCCUGGAGCCUGGCCUGGCCUGGAUGUUAGAGCUCAUGCUGCACUCUGGGAGGGUGAAAGCUGGCCCCACUCAGAGCUGUCCAUGCCACUCCCAGGCCCCAGCAAAUAGCAGGUGUCAGUGAGCGGGUGAGAGGCAUGUCUUCUGCCUCCUGGGACUCUGAGCUUCCUAGAACUGGGGCCACAUUUCCUGCCUUAUCUGUUUUCUCCACUGAGCAGGGCUGGGGCUGGAGGGGGCACGUGUGGGGCCAGCCAGCAGGAGCCCGAGGCGAGAGGGUCUGAACCCCCUGCCUCGGAGCCUACCGGCAGAGAGACCAGGUGCCUUUCAUUUCCCAGCAUCCCCGACAUCCCGCUCAUCUGCUGCAGAAACAAUGAACACGGGAAAAGGGCAGGAUGUCCCAGAGGUCGUCUCAAUGGCACACGUGCCAUGAUCUCAUCAGCUCCUGAAAAACAAUGACUCGACCUUCUGAGGGCCCCAACUGAGCUCUGACAGAGGAGAGACGGGCCAGGGCUGGGAGGAGGCAGAGAGGCAAGGGCUUCGGCCUCCCCAUUUCCAAGCUUGGAUUCCCAGGAGUCCAUUCAUAUGU